AGCCUGGCCGGCGGCCCGAUCUCGGCUGGCCUCGGCGUCCGGAGGGGCCCGGCGGCGGGGGCGCCUUAGCCCCCAAGUGGGCGCCGGAGGCCCGUGGGGAAGCGGCGGAGCAGGUCCCGGGCUCUCGGACUCGGUUCGAAUCCCAGCCCUGCCUCUUACUCUUGACUCUUGAUCUGUGACUUCAAGGCUCCUUGCCUCAGUUUACCCGUCAGUAAAAGAAGCGACACUGGAGGGUGCAGUAACCCACCACUGGCAUUUAAAGCAGCUGAGAUGAUCACGCAGUGACACUGCGGGGCAGCAAGUUUGGGACACCCAGAUUCUGCACGUGAAUCUCCUGUGUUAAACUCUGCAACCUCACGGAGAAUCAAUUUCCGCAUCUGUUACAGGGCAGUAGCAAGAACAAACACCCUGCCUCUCGGGUGGUUUGAGAAUCCCGUGAAUUCAUAGUGAGACAAUGCGUGGCACAUUUCAGUACCAUGUCUGCUGCCCCACGGAGGGACGGGAUGUAGGAGGUUUUCUCUGUGGUCCGAGCUCAGGAGGGCAAGGAGGUGAGGGCAAGACUGGAACCCCUAGAAGUGGGUGGCAAGUCACAGGUCCAGGGCAGGGUGGCAUGACCAUGGCUGCAGAGGCCCCUAUCCCGAAGCUGGCUCACAGCACCUGCUGCGGGCAGGCAGAAGGGGGGCCUGGGGGUGAGUCACCGCCCAGCAAUGAGGCUUGAGUCACACAGGGCGGGGUCCCCCGUUAGCCCCCCCAGCUGCUCCCACAAAGGCCCUUUGAGAAGAGUUCCCCACCCCCUACUCCCACCC
rnacentral:lncRNA from 1 species